GUGCUACAAAAAAUGAGAGGAAAAGAAGGGAGAGGAAAAAUUUAAGACAGCACUAUAAAUAGCUGAAAUGUCCCGUGCUUUAAAGAAUCAGGUGAAACACAUUAAAACAAAUCUUCAUUUCCAUCUUGCAGGUCUACUGGGUUAAUUGAUGGUUAACAUUUAGGCAUUGGAAUGUCCAAGUGUUCCUGUAGGAAUCAGCAGUUCUUACAGACGAGGUGGCUAGUGGCUCUCAAACUGAACAGCACGGCGCCAAGGCGGGUGGAUCACGAGGUCAAGAGAUCGAGACCAUCCUGGUCAACAUGGUAAAACCCCGUCUCUACUAAAAAUACAAAAAAUUAGCUGGGCAUGGUGGCGCGUGCCUGUAAUCCCAGC